AUGAAAAAUAAGCAGGUUUUCCAGAAACCUUACAAUUGUAGUGACCAACUGGUAAAUGAUUUGUGUAUCCUUCCUUCCAAGGAAUUUUGUUUCAAUGAAUGUGGUCAGAAGGUUGUAUCAAGUGACAAAAGGCAAUAUUUAAUUUUUUUUUUAGAACCUUGGAGACUGGAGAAGGAGGUAAAACAGGAAAUGGAAAGACUGCAACUUGCUAGUGAAAAACAUAAUGCCAUUGCUCAGUACUUGCUUAGUGGAGAUGAAAAGGUUAAAAAAUGAUUGAAAAACUAACCAACUGUGUACUUCGUGGCAAUUACAGAUGAUCCCAUUGGAAUUGUUUUUGGAGUCAUGAUGGAAAUCAGGUUUCCAAAGUGCGUACAUAGCACGCUUACAGGAAGAAGAGCCUUUUGGCUCAGUAGAGCUUCAUCAGCUAAUGCAUCAGAGUACAUCUCCUCAUGACAAACAGGGCCCACUGCAGUGCAGAUGUAAGAAUUAACACAUGCUCUGGUAACUUACCUGAUCUGGCGGUGCUUUGAGAAUAGGUAGGUAUUUCUUCUGAAGUCGACUUUAGAGUACCUCUGGUAUGGUAAUCAUCACGGUUUAGACUACAAUUUCAUUAUGAUGUUCUUUAUACUGAAAUCACCCAGAACUACCUUCACAGUUUACCAUGAAUAUUUUAAUAGCAUAAGAGGGGAAGGACUCAAAAUUAUUCUCACCUUCUAUCACUAAAUAAAAUGCAAUUGUAACAUAGAUAAAUUUGUCA
rnacentral:lncRNA from 1 species